UGGGGAAUAUUGCACAAUGGGCGCAAGCCUGAUGCAGCCAUGCCGCGUGUAUGAAGAAGGCCUUCGGGUUGUAAAGUACUUUCAGCGGGGAGGAAGGGAGUAAAGUUAAUACCUUUGCUCAUUGACGUUACCCGCAGAAGAAGCACCGGCUAACUCCGUGCCAGCAGCCGCGGUAAUACGGAGGGUGCAAGCGUUAAUCGGAAUUACUGGGCGUAAAGCGCACGCAGGCGGUUUGUUAAGUCAGAUGUGAAAUCCCCGGGCUCAACCUGGGAACUGCAUCUGAUACUGGCAAGCUUGAGUCUCGUAGAGGGGGGUAGAAUUCCAGGUGUAGCGGUGAAAUGCGUAGAGAUCUGGAGGAAUACCGGUGGCGGAGGCGGCCCCCUGGACGAAGUCUGACGCUCAGGUGCGAAAGCGUGGGGAGCAAACAGG
rnacentral:rRNA from 1 species